AUUGAACGCUGGCGGCAUGCCUUACACAUGCAAGUCGAACGGCGGCACGGGAGCAAUCCUGGUGGCGAGUGGCGAACGGGUGAGUAAAGUAUCGGAACGUGCCCAGUCGUGGGGGAUAACGUAGCGAAAGUUACGCUAAUACCGCAUACGAUCUAUGGAUGAAAGCGGGGGAUCGCAAGAACUCGCGCGAUUGGAGCGGCCGAUAUCAGAUUAGGUAGUUGGUGGGGUAAAGGCUCACCAAGACGACGAUCUGUAGCUGGUCUGAGAGGACGACCAGCCACACUGGGACUGAGACACGGCCCAGACUCCUACGGGAGGCAGCAGUGGGGAACUUUGGACAAUGGGCGAAAGCCUGAUCCAGCCAUGCCGCGUGCAGGAUGAAGGCCUUCGGGUUGUAAACUGCUUUUGUACGGAACGAAAAGGUUUGGCCUAAUAAGCUGAGCUCAUGACGGUACCGUAAGAAUAAGCACCGGCUAACUACGUGCCAGCAGCCGCGGUAA
rnacentral:rRNA from 1 species